rnacentral:rRNA from 1 species
UACGUAGGGUGCAAGCGUUGUCCGGAAUUAUUGGGCGUAAAGAGCUCGUAGGCGGUCCGUCACGUCGGCUGUGAAAACCUGGGGCUCAACCCCGGGCCUGCAGCCGAUACGGGCGGACUAGAGUUCGGUAGGGGAGACUGGAAUUCCUGGUGUAGCGGUGAAAUGCGCAGAUAUCAGGAGGAACACCGGUGGCGAAGGCGGGUCUCUGGGCCGAAACUGACGCUGAGGAGCGAAAGCAUGGGUAGCGAACAGG